GACGAACGCUGGCUUCGUGCUUAACACAUGCAAGUCGAACGGAAAGGCCCUGCUUUUGUGGGGUGCUCGAGUGGCGAACGGGUGAGUAACACGUGAGUAACCUGCCCUUGACUUUGGGAUAACUUCAGGAAACUGGGGCUAAUACCGGAUAGGAGCUCCUGCUGCAUGGUGGGGGUUGGAAAGUUUCGGCGGUUGGGGAUGGACUCGCGGCUUAUCAGCUUGUUGGUGGGGUAGUGGCUUACCAAGGCUUUGACGGGUAGCCGGCCUGAGAGGGUGACCGGCCACAUUGGGACUGAGAUACGGCCCAGACUCCUACGGGAGGCAGCAGUGGGGAAUAUUGCACAAUGGGCGGAAGCCUGAUGCAACAACGCCGCGUGCGGGAUGACGGCCUUCGGGUUGUAAACCGCUUUCGCCUGUGACGAAGCGUGAGUGACGGUAAUGGGUAAAGAAGCACCGGCUAACUACGUGCCAGCAGCCGCGGUGAUACGUAAGGUGCGAGCGUUGUCCGGAUUUAUUGGGCGUAAAGGGCUCGUAGGUGGUUGAUCGCGUCGGAAGUGUAAUCUUGGGGCUUAACCCUGAGCGUGCUUUCGAUACGGGUUGACUUGAGGAAGGUAGGGGAGAAUGGAAUUCCUGGUGGAGCGGUGGAAUGCGCAGAUAUCAGGAGGAACACCAGUGGCGAAGGCGGUUCUCUGGGCCUUUCCUGACGCUGAGGAGCGAAAGCGUGGGGAGCGAACAGGCUUAGAUACCCUGGUAGUCCACGCUGUAAACGGUGGGUACUAGGUGUGGGGUCCAUUCCACGGGUUCCGUGCCGUAGCUAACGCUUUAAGUACCCCGCCUGGGGAGUACGGCCGCAAGGCUAAAACUCAAAGGAAUUGACGGGGCCCCGCACAAGCGGCGGAGCAUGCGGAUUAAUUCGAUGCAACGCGUAGAACCUUACCUGGGUUUGACAUGGAUCGGGAGUGCUCAGAGAUGGGUGUGCCUCUUUUGGGGUCGGUUCACAGGUGGUGCAUGCCUGUCGUCAGCUCGUGUCGUGAGAUGUUGGGUUAAGUCCCGCAACGAGCGCAACCCUUGUUCACUGUUGCCAGCACGUUAUGGUGGGGACUCAGUGGAGACCGCCGGGGUCAACUCGGAGGAAGGUGGGGAUGACGUCAAGUCCUCAUGCCCCUUAUGUCCAGGGCUUCACGCAUGCUACAAUGGCUGGUACAGAGAGUGGCGAGCCUGUGAGGGUGAGCGAAUCUCGGAAAGCCGGUCUCAGUUCGGAUUGGGGUCUGCAACUCGACCUCACGAAGUCGGAGUCGCUAGUAAUCGCAGAUCAGCAACGCUGCGGUGAAUACGUUCCCGGGGCU
rnacentral:rRNA from 1 species